AUUGAACGCUGGCGGCAGGCCUAACACAUGCAAGUCGAACGAGUGGCGGACGGGUGAGUAAUGUCUGGGACACUGCCCGAUGGAGGGGGAUAACUACUGGUAACAGUAGCUAAUACCGCAUACCAUCGGAUGUGCCCAGGUGGGUUUCGCUAGUAGGUGGGGUAACGGCUCACCUAGGCGACGAGCCAUAGCUGGUCUGAGAGGAGGACCAGCCACACUGGAACUACGCAACGGUCCAGACUCCUACGGGAGGAAGCAUUGGGGAAUAUUGCACAAUGGGCGCAAGCCUGAUGCAGCCAUGCCGCGUGUAUGAAGAAGGCCUUCGGUUUGUAAAGUACUUUCAGCGAGGAGGCGUUACUCGCAGAAGAAGCACCGGCUAACUCCGUGCCAGCAGCCGCGGUAAGAC
rnacentral:rRNA from 1 species